rnacentral:lncRNA from 1 species
CUGCAGCUCUGUCAGCUUCAGUCUCCCAUGCAGAGCUCGGAGCGCAUGUGUGGCUCUGCACCCUUAGCAGCGUUGCUAACUCCUCAGUAAGGAAAGCCUGCUUCAUGUCAGAGUCUCUAAACUCCAGAAGAAGUCGAUAAAAGUCACUUUCUUUCUAAAAAAAGUCGUUAGGGGGUCUGAAAAGUCAUUGAAUCUAACAACAAAGUCGCUAGGUUUGCAACUACGUGUCCCAGACUGCAUCCCUGCUGAGAGUCCCUCCCUCCCUUCUCAUGUUGCAGGAAGAACGUAAGCGCCCGCCCCUUGUCAAUCAGUCACCAUAUAAUUUUGGAUUGGUUGUUGUGGUGAAGUUUUCCACCAAUAGGAGAGAUGUUGUGUGUUUUUUUUUUCUUUUGGCAAGCCUUUUCCGCCUGUAAGACCUGUCGCUAAUGUCUGCAUGCUAUGUUUUCCUGUCUCAUACAGCGCGAUCGAGCGCCGAACGUGAUCAAAAUAAGCAGAAAAAAAGUAUCGCCAACAUAAUUUAUCAUAACUCUGGUUUUAUUUGGCCUAUCAACACAAUUUAAAAACUGGUAUAUAGGUUGAGGUCCUCACUUUUGAGAUAAGUUGAAACGGAGAGUCAACGAGGCUCCGUCUUGCAGCUACAUCCGGUUAAAUAUGUCAUGUGACUUGAACGCACACACAGACACACACACGCACACACACACACACACACACACACACACACUCAGAGUCUGGUCUUUAGCACCUGCAAAAACAUGCUAUUUACAUAUUUGACAAGAAUGCAGAGGCUCCUUUUGCCCCUGAAAAAAAUCAGAUUUCAAACACAACUUGACUGGUCAUUUCUCCAAAAGACAACCAUGAAGCUCCAUCCAAACCUGAAGCAGGCAGUUGGUGCAUGUGUACAGUAACCUGAGGGGAGUGAGGUGAGUGCUUCUGAGGAGAACAUGAGCAGUGAAGAUUCACCUUGGAGCUAGAACAGAGACAUGCACAUGAUUAUACAGGGGCAGGGGCUCAAGUUUUUUCCAGUCGUUUAUACAAUAUGGAAAUUAAUGUGAAAUUAAAACACAAAGUAUUAAUAGAAAGGUAAUGACUGUCCUGUGUAGGUGACAGUGAUAUCCAAUAGGCUAGGCACUCACGAGGCUGGCUGUGGCAAGUGUAAGUGAAAGCAACACGCACUGGCAGGAAGAACAGCAAACGCCGAUGAAGGAAAAGGGUCUUUGCAGUGAUGGGCGUUACCAGAGAGGGCGAUGGCCAGAGGACACAAAUGGGACGGGAAGGCAGCACGUUGGGGGGGGGGGGACGGGGGGGGGGCACGCGACACGGCUCGGGCCCGCCAGUGCCCCAACGGGGUCCUAGUUAGGGCCCGAGCGUAGCUGCUAAGCAGCUGCGAGAGCCCUCUUGUUCCUGAUGGAUUCUUCUUUUGUUAUUAGGGCCCGAGCGUAGCUGCUAAGCAGCUGCGAGAGCCCUGUUGUUCCUGAUGGAUUCUUCUUUCUUCUUCUUCUUCUUAUUAUUUUUCUGCCCCUUUGAACUGGAAAAUGGCCCACUUCCCACUGGUGAAAACUCAUGAAAUUUGGCAGGACAACCGGGCCUGGUGAAAAAUUCGAUAUUCUGAAGCCGCCCAAACAAUCAAAUGCAAAAUGGCUCCAUAGCGCCCCCUAAGGUGAAAAAUUCACAUGAUUGAGUGUCACGCCUGUACGCUUUGUCAAAAUGACACAAAAUUUGACACACAUGUGUAUCUCAAUAAGAUCUACAAAAAAGUCAGCGCGGGCGUAUCUGUCAAAUGUACGGUUAAAGGGCUAUUUCGCAUUUUUUGCCGAUCCGCACACAUUGGAAUUUCGCUAACUCCUCCGAAGGCUUUCGUUCCACCGGCACCAAAUUUGCUCAGGCCAAUCUACACCCCAUGGCCAUUCAAAGUUGUACAAAUCAUGACGCUGCACCCCACGGUUUACGUUCUAGGGGGCGCCAAAGAUAACCCAAAAAUCCACAUUCUUAAAAGUCUUAUAACUUUUUACUUUUGUCCUCACUGGCCUCCAAGUUUUCUAGGAUGAUGCAAUGUCCAGCCAUCAACACAUUUGUGAAGGAAUUUUUACUCCCCAAAAGAGCGCCCCCCAUGGCAGGAGAAAAAAGUCCAUUUUUUCUUGUCCCCUAAGGUGAAAAUACAUAUUGUUGAGUGUCACGCCUAUACGCUUUGUCAUAUUGACACAAAAUUUGACACACACGUGUAUCUCAAUAAGAUCUACAAAAAAGUCAGCGCGGGCGUAUCUGUUCAAUGUACGGUUAAAGGGCUAUUUCGCAUUUUUUGCCGAUCCGCACACAUUGGAAUUUCGCUAACUCCUCUGAAGGCUUUCGUUCCACCGGCACCAAAUUUGCUCAGGCCAAUCUACACCCGAUGGCCAUUCAAAGUUGUAAAAAUCAUGAUGCUGCACCCCACGGUUUACGUUCUAGGGGGCGCCAAAGAUAACCCAAAAAUCCACAUUCUUAAAAGUCUUAUAACUUAUUAUUUUUGUCCUGACUGGCUUCCAAGUUUUCUAGGAUGAUGCAAUGUCUAGCCAUCAACACAUUUGUGAAGGAAUUUUUACUCCCUAAAAGAGUGCCCCCCCAUGGUAGGAGAAAAAGUCAAGUUUUUCCUGCCCAUCGCUCAAUGGCUCAAACACAUCGCCCUCUCGGCAAAACCGAAAGGAGUAACAACUUGCCAUUUGGAUAUAUCCUAGCUGUGUUUGUGCCCUCACUCAUGGUCCAGACUUUUUUCAAAUAGGACAUGGAGUUUGUCUGCAGCGAGCGUUUUGGUAGAAACUGCGCCUCCCAUUCAUUAUAAUGGUAAAUGACCACAGACAAGUGCGCACACCAUCUUUGGACCUUGAGUGUGAUGCGAUCGGGAGGGAGAGGCGGUCGUGUUGGGGGCGGCGCGACACAGCUCGGGCCCGCCAGUGCCCCAACGGGGCCCUAGUUAUUAGGGCCCGAGCCAGCUGCAGAGCAGCCGGGCGUAGGCCCUAUUAUUCCCCAAGUGGUUUUUCUUUGUUUCUUUCUUUCUUUUUUCUUUUUCCUCCCCUUUGAACUGGAAAAUGGCCCACUUCCCACUGGCGAAAACUCAUGAAAUUUGGCAGGACGACCGGGCCUGGUGAAAAAUUUGAUAUUCUGAAGUCGCCAAAACAAUAAAAUGCAAAAUGGCUCCAUAGCGCCCCCUAAGGUGAAAAUUCACACUAUUCACUGUCAUGACUGUACGCUUUGUCAAAAUGACACAAAAAUUGACACACAUAUGUAUCUCAAUAAGAUCUACAAAAAAGUCAGUGCGGCCGUAUCUGUCAAAAUUACGGUUAAAGGGUUAUUACGCAUUUUUUGCCGAUCCGCACACAUUGGAAUUUCGCUAACUCCUCCGAAGGCUUUCGUUCCACCGGCACCACAUUUGCUCAGGCCAAUCUACACCCCAUGGCCAUUAAAAGUUAUCAAAAUCAUGACGCUGCACCCCAAGGUUUAGGUUCUAGGGGGCGCCAAAGAUAACACUAAAAUCCACAUAUUUAAAAGUCUUAUAACUUUUUAUUUUUGUCCUCACUGGCCUCCAAGUUUUCUAGGAUGAUGCAAUGUCCAGCCAUCAACACAUUUGUGAAGGAAUUUUUACUCCCCAAAAGAGCGCCCCCCCAUGGCAGGAGAAAAAAGUCCAUUUUUUCUUGUCCCCUAAGGUGAAAAUACACAUUGUUGAGUGUCACGCCUAUACGCUUUGUCAAAAUGACACAAAAAUUGACACACACAUGUAUCUCAAUAAGAUCUACGAAAAAGUCAAUGCGCGCGUAUCUGUCAAAUGUACGGUUAAAGGGUUAUUCCGCAUUUUUUGCCGAUCCGCACACAUUGGAAUGUGGCUAACUCCUCCUAAGGCUUUCGUUCCACCGGCACCACAUUUGCUCAGGCCAAUCUACACCCCAUGGCCAUUAAAAGUUAUUCAAAUCAUGACGCUGCACCCCACGGUUUAGGUUCUAGGGGGCGCCAAAGACAACCCUAAAAUCCACAUAUUUAAAAGUCUUAUAACUUUUUAUUUUUGUCCUCACUGGCCUCCAAGUUUUCUAGGAUGAUGCAAUGUCCAGCCAUCAACACAUUUGUGAAGGAAUUUUUACUCCCCAAAAGAGCGCCCCCCAUGGCAGGAGAAAAAAGUCCAUUUUUUCUUGUCCCCUAAGGUGAAAAUACAUAUUGUUGAGAUUCACGCCUAUACGCUUUGUCAUAUUGACACAAAAUUUGACAAUCACGUGCCUUGCCUGGUAUCAUUUUUUUCAGCACAACCUCACCUGUGCGAAUUUACAGUUAUUUUAUCAUGUUGACAUACUGAAUUUACACAAUGGACCCAAAUUCACACACAAAACAUAAAAUCCGAGUGGAAAAAAGUAACAUUUUUACUGUGAAAACCACAAAUAUGUGUGAUGAACUGUUUUUAAAACUUAAACUUCAAAUAAAAAUUGUAAACUUCAAAACAUAUGCAAAUUUUUAACAAAGAACAUAGUGAUUUACCUCUAUUUACAUCAAAAUGCAGGCAAUGGCCCAGGCGUUCUUUGUAAAAUUAUUUACAAAACACUGUAUAGUCUCACAAAUGUCACUUUUUAUUUAUGCCACUACAAAAAAACAUGAUGUAAAUGAUGCAUGAUGUAAAACAUGAUGUAAAAAACUUGUGUAGAUCCUCCUCUAUGUCAGUCCAUGUGUAAUUUUUCCAUAAUUCUUUGUUUUUUGCAGCAUUUUUGUUAGUGUAACUGCAGAUUGUGCUGACAGUGUCUAUGGCACAAAAAAAAAAAAAUUCAAAAUGCCUCAACAUGAACCCCUGGUGGUCUCUGAGGGUGAAACCUGCUAACUGCUGCAGCUCUGUCAGCUUCAGUCUCCCAUGCAGAGCUCUGAGCGCAUGUGUGGCUCUGCACCCUUAGCAGCGUUGCUAACUCCUCAGUAAGGAAAGCCUGCUUCAUGUCAGAGUCUCUAAACUCCAGAAGAAGUCGAUAAAAGUCCCUUUCUUUCUAAAAAAAAGUCGUUAGGGGGUCUGAAAAGUCAUUGAAUCUAACAACAAAGUCGCUAGGUUUGCAACUACGUGUCCCAGACUGCAUCCC